AAUUGCAUGAAAUUGGUUCCCAAUUUUAAACUUUGUUAGUAUUAAUUGAUACUUGGCUAACAGAUGGUCACAUCAGGAUCUCGUUUAAAGGUUUCUUUUGAUGACACUAUUUUGCACGUUUUAGUUAUACAUUAAUAAUGAUUUUAGGGCACAUGGUAAUUAAAGAAUGUAUCAUGUAACUAUUUGAUGCAUGGUUCUGUUAAAAUUAGAAAGGGGUUUUGCUAAGAACCCUAUCGAUUAAACUUGCGCUGGUGAGCGAAGACAGAAGUAGUGAUUUCAAUCCGUAAUCCAAAGGUAGAAACUUCAUUCACAAGCGAAGAAGAAGUGGGUGGUCAGUGGUUUGAUUUGAUCGACGAAAUUACCAUUUCUGAUGUGAGGGCUGGAAAUGGGGUUUGCGGUCGCGUUUCAUCAUAUGGAUAGGUUUGAAAGGAAUAGGGGAUUGAAAAACGUUGGGGGUGAAAUCCACAUUGUUAAAGGGACCAAUCCAGAUUUUUGGUCAUUCUUUGAAGCAUUAGGCAUCGUGAAGGAUUUUAAAUACGCUGGAGAUGUGAAACUUUGGUGGAACGGUUCAAAACAUAAGUUGUUAAACAAUCUAAGAUUGUUGAGUGAGAUAAGGAGGCAUUAGUGUUGACUAAGUAUGCAGAGGAUAGGAACGAAGAGGUUGAUAAAUUUGUUCAACAUGUUCCUUGUCAGCCCGAAGUGGUGCAUUUUAUUGCUGGUGCUGGAA